rnacentral:lncRNA from 1 species
AUCCUGGAGACGUUCCAGGAAGCCCUCCUGAGAGCCCUGAGCCCGAGCCGCAGCAAGCGCUGGUGCCUGUGGUGAGAGAGCUGGUCCCGGUCAGGGGGCCGGUCUGGGGCCAGCUCAGCCUGCAGCCCCUGCAGCCCCAGCCGCCGGUCAGGUGCGCCCCGAAGCAUCUCCAGAAGGAGGGUGGCCAGCACACGUUGGGGCAUGGCCCCCUGCUGAGACCCCACCGGCAACCCUCCACCCCAGACCCCUCCUUAUGGACUGGACUGCCUCCCACCAGGGUCACUCGGCACCCACUGAUCCCAGCACCUAUCCUGGGCCUGCUGCUGCUGCUGCUGCUCUCCGUCCUGCUGCUGGGCCAGUCCCCGCCCCCCACCUGGCCCCACCUCCAGCUCUGCUACCUCCAGCCCCCCCCAGUGUGAGGCGCUCAGAGAAGGUCUAGUCAGAGAACUCCCGGGGAAUCCUACAGUUAUUACCAUUGUUGUGCCACCAUUAGCUGGGGGGACCCCGGUACGGGGACCCCAGAUACAGUGCUCCAGGAUCCACACCCCUGUAUUGCGUUUUUAUGUGAAGUCUUUUGGUUUUUUAACGUUGGUAACUACAUUUCUUAGCAAUAGCAAAACACACCCAAUAAUGAAUUAAAUACUAGGAGUUUGUUUUCCUCCUGAAGCAAGUUUGGAGGAGGACAGCUGUGGGCCCACAGCUCAGAGUCUCCACAGCCUGGGAGUCAAGGGAGCUAUGAUUCUCUACGAUCCUCUCGGCCCUUCCCUCUUGCUCAGGAGAUGGCAGGUGUAGCUUCACACAUCACAUCUGUAGGAAGAAGGGGACGUGUCCCUUCUUUUCUUCAUAAAGAAAAGCUGUGGCCUUCCCAGAGCCAGCAGCCGACCUGUGUUUAGGUCUCGUUGGUCAGAAGUGUUUGUUGUGACCACUCCUAGCUGCAAGAGAGGCUGGGAGGCUGAGCACCUCUCCCCUCUCCUGGCAGAAAGAGGGAGAGAGACAGUGGGCCGGGCACACAUCACAGAUGUCCCCUGCAGUGCAAACAGCCGGCAGGAAAUGGACCAGUGUGCCAUUUGCUCACUCAUCACUUACUGCUCAUCUGCGCGCCACAAUUAGACCUUAGAAGAUAAAGCUGUAGGGGCGCCUGGGUGGCUCAGUCCAUUAAGGGCAUGAUCUCGGGGUCCUGGGAUGGAGCCCUGCAAGGCUCAGCAGGGAGUCUGCUUGUCCCUCUGCCCCUCCCACUCGUGCUUGCACAUGCUCACACUCUUCAACAAAAUCUUUUAAAAAUUCAUUUAAUUGUUUUUUUUUAAAAAAGGAAGCUAAAGCUGUAGAAAAACAGGCCUUCCAAUGCCAGGCUGAGGAGCACUGGUUUUCUCCUGAGGAUGAUGGAAGCUUUCAGAAUUUUAUUGCUUGUUUUUUGGUUAU